UGUGAAUAUUGAAUCUUGUACUUACUGGGCUUCAUGUGUUUGUUUUUGAAUGAUGAACUAAUUUGUCUCUCUGCUACGUAAUGCUUUCAAAUACCAAUCACAUUAUUAAUACAUCUUACCAAGAACCGUCUUGGACGUGAUUUUAUAAGUUUUUUAUUAUAGUGAUGACUGAUCGCAUGUAAUCACAGACAUCUUUUGAGGAAUUGAUUUGUCUUUGAAACAUCUUUUGACUCAUUGUUAUAAAUCUCCCUCGUGGGGUUAUUGUCCUCCGUUGUCGGGGUUUUGCCUCCAUUAUGGAGUUUUUGUUCUCCAUUGUGGGAUUAUUGUCGUACUUCGUAUAUUAAUGAAGGCGCUCACCAUCCGAUGACAAAAAAUUCAAUUUUCGAAGCAGUUUUCAAUUUCGAUGAUUACAUAUAUAUGGUUGAUAUAAUUAUGUAUAUUAUUUUGAAUUCUAUAAUUUAUUGCAGUAUUUAUUAGUUUUCAGGUUAAACAUCAUUUGAAACUGUGGAGUAAAAGAAAUAUGGAUCGUCAGAGACAAUUUACAUUGUUGUAUUUUUUAGACCAUUCACUUUAUCAUUAUUCUCAAUUUGUAUAAAGCGAAUCUGUAAUUGGAUGGAAUGAAGUGGCUAAAAUGUUCAUAUAUUCUCUUUA